CAUUACAAACCAGCCCACCUUUCAGCAAGAACCAACAUCACCAAGCUUCCCAGUCCGGCAGAGGUUGCUCCCUAUUUGUCUUCUUCUCCACUCAAAGCACCUAUCUGUGGCACAAAUAAUGCUGUGAAACAGAGAGAACAGCAGCACAGAGCUUCGCCUUCCCAAUCCCGGUUUGGGACCACCUGCGUGGUAUGGCACAGGAGCGAGGGUGCUUUGCUCAGCCCCCCAGCCACCCACGCUCCUCCUUUAUUCCCGGCAGGAGGCAUUUGGGAGGUCAGCCCAUGGAUUUCGAUUUCCACUCGAGGUUGUUCAGUCGCAUCACCUUGCAAAGCGGCUACGGGAGAAACAGAACUGCGGGAGGGGGCAUGGACACCCCCGCCUCUCAACGCCCCGAGGCCGCAGAGGCCGCGCUCCGCAGGGGCCGGGCCGAGGGCGGCAGCGCUGGGACGCGCCGUCGGGCGGAGCCGCUCGGCUGCGCGGCGCUUUGAAACAAAAGGGUGGGCUUUUUCUUUCUUUUUUUUCUCUCUCUCCUUUUUUUUUUUUUUUUUUUUUUUUAAUUUCNNNNNNNNNNNNNNNNNNNNNNNNNNNNNNNNNNNNNNNNNNUUUUUUUUUUUAAUUUCCUCUGGAGAAGAACUCCGACCGCCUUUAAAAAAUGAGAGAUUUUAUUUCAUUUUAUUUUUUAUUUUAUUUUUUUCUCUCGGAGAAAACCCGCUCCAUCCCUCCUCUCCCUCCCCACCACGCGCGCUGCUCUCCCCCGUGGCUCCGGGCUGGCACGCGUCCAGGCGGCAGGAUUUUUGGGGUAUUAUUUUUAUUACGACGACGGCGAUGAUUUCCCUCUAUUUCCAUGCACAUUUCGGCUUCAGCUCCCCAAACUCUUUGAUCUCCCCCGCUGUCUCCUUACCCGGAAGAAAACCCGGGGCCGGCUCAGCUGGGAGCUCGGCGCACACGUGGGCGCCCUGGCGCGCCUCCAUGCUCCUGCCAAAUUUAGGCGCACAAAGGGCCCAGGGGGGCCGGCGGGGGGGGGAUGAAAGGGGCCGCCGGCAGGACAUCAAAGCGCCGCCGCCCCGCCCCGCUCCCGCCCUUCCCUAUAUAGGGGGCGCCGCUCCGCACGCAACCGAGGGGGCUGUGAGUGGGGACUGUGGAUUUUGCGUUCUUAGCUCCCUUCCUUCCCCGGCAGCGGGGCUGGGGUAG
rnacentral:lncRNA from 1 species